CUUAGGACGAACGCUGGCGGCGUGCCUAAUACAUGCAAGUCGAACGGUCUUUCUAUGGAAGCUUGCUUCCACUGAGAAGAUAGUGGCGAACGGGUGAGUAACACGUGGGUAACCUGCCCAUAAGAGGGGGGAUAACAUCCGGAAACGGGUGCUAAUACCGCAUAGUUUCUUGAUCGCAUGAUCGGGAAAGGAAAGACGGCCUUUGUGCUGUCGCUUAUGGAUGGACCCGCGGCGUAUUAGUUAGUUGGUGAGGUAACGGCUCACCAAGACGAUGAUACGUAGCCGACCUGAGAGGGUGAUCGGCCACAUUGGGACUGAGACACGGCCCAAACUCCUACGGGAGGCAGCAGUAGGGAAUCUUCCGCAAUGGACGAAAGUCUGACGGAGCAACGCCGCGUGAGUGAAGAAAGGUUUUCGGAUCGUAAAACUCUGUUGUCAGAGAAGAACAAGUUGGAGAGUAACUGCUCCAGCCUUGACGGUAUCUGACCAGAAAGCCACGGCUAACUACGUGCCAGCAGCGGC
rnacentral:rRNA from 1 species